UAUGUAUUUAUUCUGGAUAUUAAUUCUUUAGAGACUUGAAUGUAUUCUUGAAAUAACAUCUCCCAAAUUUUACCUGUGUUGUCAUAUUCUCUGUGGUUGUUUUCACAAACAAAAGUUUCUAUCCUUCAUGUAGACUCAUUUUUCAUGCCUCUUUCUUGUGGUUGGUGAGUUUUGUGUCUUAUCCUAUAUUGGGACUAUCACAAUAUUUUACUGUGUUAUCUUACAAAAUUAAUAUUCUUUCCUUAUAAAUUUGGUUAAUUCAAAUAGGAUUGACUUAUAUGAAAUAAGGAUCCAAACAUGCAUACCUAAUUUUUAAAUUUCUAGAAAAUCUCCCACCAACAUUUAUUGAAAAGUUCACAUUUGCUCACAUAACUUGAUUUUUUUACCUGUAACAUAUAUGAAAUGUCCAUGAACAAUUAUCUGGCCUCUCUUCCAUCUUCAAUUAACUUAUUUACUUUUCUGUACUAUGAUGUUAAAAAGUAAAUUUUACUUCCAGUAUGUUACAAAUAUUUUUCUAACUUCUUCAUUUAUUUAAUAAUAUCUUAGCUAUUCUUGACUAAUGUGUUAUUGAAAAUUUUGAAUUGUCUUAUUAACUUCUGCAAGCAAAUAAAUGUUUUAGUCUCUUCUUGACAUUGUAAUAAGCCUGCAGAUCAAGGUGGAGAGAAUGGAAUCUUUGACAAUAUGGAGAUUUCCAAUCCAUGAACAUAAUAUGAAUUUCCCACUUAUUAAUAAACGGUAUUUUAACAAAUAUAACAUUAAUUUCAUAACUUUCUCCAUUACUGAUAAUUAUAAUAGUUUUUGAUAACUUUUCAUUUUGUUAUGGGGGUUUUCCAAUAUUAGAAAUCUUAAUAGAAAUAUUAAAAUAACAAUGCAACACAUCUUCUUACCUAGAUUCAUCAAGUGUUACAUUGCUGUCAUUUUUUACUCUCUUUCUCAUUUUCUGUAUUACUCCUUCAGUUUCCCUAUUGAUUUGUACGCUUAUUUGAUUUAAUGUAUUAGUGACAUCUUUUUGAUAUUUAGAGUCUCCGAAAUUUAUGCAGUGAGUACCCAUGCUUUUUUAAUGUGAAAUCAUUAAUAUUUAGAUAAUUAUAGGCUUGAGUAAUGUUGAAAACUAAUUUUUCCUAUUAUACCUGUGCAUUGGAGAGAUAGAUAUUCAACAUUAUUCAUCAAACCUACUAAAUUACACUAGACAUUACAAAAUUUGCCUCUAGAUUCUUGUGGGUCUUCUAGGUACAUGACCCUAUCACGUGGGCACAAUGUCAGCUCUGUUUCUUCUUCAGCAUCUUUUGAGAUAUUCUCUUUAUCUGCAGUGUUGUACAGUUUCAAAAUACUUUAUCUCGGAAUGGAUUUCUGCUUACUCUUCGUCUGGUUUUCAUUGACCCCUUGAGUGUUUAGAGAGGUCUUUCAUAAAUUUUGGAAACGUAUCAAUCUCUUUAAGUAUUGUCUGUGCACCCUACUGUCUGAUUUACUUGGUGUUUCCCAAUUGGCAAUGAUGUAAUCUAAAAAUAAUUAAAGUUUUCUAUUACUUUGAUAGGUGUUUGAAUUCCAGUUGACUUCAGAGGACAUGAAAGCCAUAGAUGGCUUAGACAGAAAUAUACGAUAUUUGACCCUUGAUAUUUUUGCUGGCCCCCCUAAUUAUCCAUUUUCUGAUGAAUAUUAACAUGGAGGGCAUUGCAUGAGGUCUACCAAAAGGCCCUAUGUGUGGAUGGUGACACAUAGGAUGUCUCUAUGCUGGUGACUGGACACGUCGUCUCUGGUUAAAUCUCUCCUGCUUGACCACUUCACCAAGCUACAGCUAAGCCCAUUGGCCAGAAAAGACAGACAAUGAUUUUUUUAUCAUUUUGAAAAAAUUAAAUGCUCUCUCCUAAAGAUUCUUCACCUGCUUUGGUCUCCGUAACUUCUAUGUUUUCUUUCCUUCUGACACACUAAUGACCCAAAAUUGUGAUUUGCCUAUGUGUUUAGGGUCAGGGUUGGAAGAUGAUAACAACCAUUUAAGAUUCAUUUCUGCAGUGGGAAUGGGUGGAGGUUCACCCUCUGGGAAAGGGGCAGGUGACAGGUAUUGGUCAGUGCCUCUCUAGCUCUUGUUGGAAGAAGCACAUGCAGCAUGGAGUCUACAGGGUGAGCGAUAUUGACCAGCAAUUCAUGGGCUCCCUCCAGCAGUGUGAGAGUCAGAGUUUCUGGAGCCUUGGGAGGAGGCAUCCCUGUGAGAGGGGGCAUCAGGGAGGUGGAAGGGCACCCACCAGGAAAAGUGAUUAGAAGUCAGGUAUGAGGAGGUAUUUAAAUAAGAGAGAGUCAAGCACAUCUCUGCUUGGAAAAACAUUUCAGCACCCUUUUUUUUUUUUUUGAUCAUUAUAUCUUGUUUAUAAAAGGGAAGUUUCCACAAUUUUUUAACAAACCCAACAGCUGAGAGUCAGGCGUGAAUCUUUGAUGUGUGCCCAGUCACAGCGUUGACCCUAUUGGUCUAUGGUGGGGCAGAACAUCAAAGUCAUCAUCGACUAAUCACAUUCCCCUGACUACCUCAUAUUUAGAAAAUAUUCUUAGAUUGUAAAAAUGUGCUGUUCAUUGGUUAUAUUCAAUCUUUUAAGUGUUUUAUACAUUAAGCAAAGCAUAGUUACAAGUAUAAAACAGAAACAUCCCAAAGUCAUUAUGUAUUGCACUCAAGAUUAAAAUGGGAAAUAAUAAAUCUAAUCAAUCAUGUGUUCCAAGACUUCAAGCACCUUUUGGAAACAGGGUAUGUGAAACAACACACUGUUUUCAAACAUUGGUAAAUUGUAAGAACAACUCUUACAAAGGCAUUUCAUUCUUAUACAUAAUUUUCAGGGGAACUAAGUAAAUCAGCUAAUCAUGAAGACAUGAUUUUCAUUUCAGACAACACUUUUGAAAAUGUGGGAUAGUCUCAGGGCUUAAUGAUCAAAGCAUUUUGAGAACAGUGGUUUUUAAGCUGGGCACACUUUCUAACACAUUUACCUGCCACUCUUCUUACUCUAGUAGCCACGUUAACCCCUUCAGAUAUUCCUUCUCAAGGCAUGUCUCAGAGCUGAUAGGCAUCCCACCAAGUUUUGCAGCUCACAAUUUUUCCGUAACUUACUUACUCUGUAAAAUUGGAGGAGGCCAUAAACUUUAGAGGGCCCUAGACCAAUUUUUUUGGAUUAUUUUUGGUCUACUGUCAUUCCGCUGAUGACCUUAGAUAUUCUCUGCAUUACAUAUCACCUCUACGCAGAGAAAUCCCCCCAAAAAUAUUUCUAGCUCAGGUUUUUCCUCCAAAUUCUACAAUGGAAGAUCACAGUGUGAACCCUGCAUCUCCACAUUAAAGUCUAAACGACAUUCACACUUAGCAUGUCUCAAAGAAACCUCAUGUAAACCACGGCCAUCCUGUUCUACCUUAACUUUCUGAGUCCAAGGAAUGAUAAUUUCAUAUCUCAUAAACCCGAUUGAUAUAAUUGUCAAGAAAAGAUUGACAUUUUGUUAAAACUUAAUAGUCAAGUGUGUAACGCUUAAGCAAACUUUCAUAUUUCAAAUCUCUUUUGCAUGUGUAACUCUGACUUCAAGAUGUGAAAUAAUCAUUGGGUCAGUCAUUUGUAAAUACUAAAAGUGCUAUGGACUUUUUCCAGUUUGUGACCAUCCAUUUUUAUAAAACUCUUAUGGUUAAAAAAGAAAAAAAAUUUACUCAGAAUUUCAUAAAGCCAAACACCUGAUUUCAGGAACACUUGUGAUGUCAGAAAAUUUUAUAGGGACCUCCAAUCACUAAUUUUACUAUUUUUUCUUUCAAAGAAAUGCUGAAGGGAAGAAUUCAGGUUGAAUGAAAGGAAAUAGUAACUUACAGCCAUAUAGAGUUAUAAAGACUUCUUGUAAAUGUAAAUAUAUGGUAACAUAAAAUCAUGUAUUUUUGAAA